CUGGAGGUAUCAGAAGUGCGAAUGCUGACAUAAGUAACGAUAAAGCGGGUGAAAAGCCCGCUCGCCGGAAGACCAAGGGUUCCUGUCCAACGUUAAUCGGGGCAGGGUGAGUCGACCCCUAAGGCGAGGCCGAAAGGCGUAGUCGAUGGGAAACGGGUUAAUAUUCCCGUACUUGGUGUUACUGCGAAGGGGGGACGGAGAAGGCUAUGUUGGCCGGGCGACGGUUGUCCCGGUUUAAGCGUGUAGGUGUGUGUUCCAGGUAAAUCCGGUUCACUUUAACACUGAGGCGUGAUGACGAGGCACUACGGUGCUGAAGCAACAAAUGCCCUGCUUCCAGGAAAAGCCUCUAAGCAUCAGGUAACAUCAAAUCGUACCCCAAACCGACACAGGUGGUCAGGUAGAGAAUACCAAGGCGCUUGAGAGAACUCGGGUGAAGGAACUAGGCAAAAUGGUGCCGUAACUUCGGGAGAAGGCACGCUGACAU
rnacentral:rRNA from 1 species